rnacentral:rRNA from 1 species
AUUGAACGCUGGCGGCAGGCCUAACACAUGCAAGUCGAACGGUAGCACAGAAAGCUUGCUCUUGGGUGACGAGUGGCGGACGGGUGAGUAAAGUCUGGGAAACUGCCCGAUGGAGGGGGAUAACUACUGGAAACGGUAGCUAAUACCGCAUAAUGUCGCAAGACCAAAGAGGGGGGACCUUCGGGCCUCUUGCCAUGGGAUGUGCCCAGAUGGGAUUAGCUAGUUGGUGUGGUAA